rnacentral:rRNA from 1 species
CAAUAGCGUAUAUUAAAGUUGUUGCAGUUAAAAAGCUCGUAGUUGGACCUUGGACCUGGACAGGCGGUCCGCCUCACGGCGUGUACUGUCUUGCUGGGUCUUUCCUCUUGGUGAUCUGUUGUUUCGGCAGCAGGGAACCAGGACUUUUACUUUGAAAAAUUAGAGUGUUCAAAGCAGGCUCGACGCCGGAAUAUAUUAGCAUGGAAUAAUAAAAUAGGACGUGCGGUUCUAUUUUGUUGGUUUUUGGAAUCGCCGUAAUGAUUAAUAGGGACAGUCGGGGGCAUUAGUACUCACAUGCUAGAGGUGAAAUUCUUGGAUUUUGUGAAGACUAACUUCUGCGAAAGCAUUUGCCAAGGAUGUUUUCAUUAA